GUUUUGUGAUUCUGGUCCCAACCGCGGCCCCCUCGUCAGCCUGGUUCUGCGGGAUGGCGGUGGGAGUCUGCCCUGGCAGCUCAGCCUACAACACUUGUGACACCCUCUACGCUCUGCUGUGCUGGCACCAGGAUGGAGUGGCAGAUAUGACAGACAAGGUCUUUGGCUUCACAGAGUUUUAAGGUGAACACUUAUUAUGUGCCCUGCACUGUUAUAAACACUUUUCCGUGUAUUCUCAUUUAAUCCUCAAACUAAUAUUAUCCCUAGUUAUAGAUUAGUAAACUGAGGCUUAGAGAAGGAAAAUAAUUUGACCAAGUCGAGACGGACUGUGGCAGACCAGAUGUGAACCCAGACAGUGUGACCCCCAACUCCCUGUGCUUACCCUUCGUGGAAAAUCAUCACUUGCCUGGAAUAGUCCCGAGGAGGGGUGAUGGAGACGUGUGAGAUGGAGAAGAGGGAAGAGCUUCAGGAGGCGGACAGUGGGGAGAAAUGCCUGGACUUGAUUAUAAGGAGACAUGAGCAGGGAGAGAGAGGGGUCUCAGGGUCUACCUGCUACAAUCCAGGGGAACCCAUCUGCAGGCAGGAAUUUGGACUUUAUUUUAAUUGAACUUCCAAAGGACCCAGAAAGCUGUUGGCCUUUCUUUAUAUCAUCUGGCAUAAACAUGAAAAAAAAAUGUGCACACAAUAAAUA
rnacentral:lncRNA from 1 species